GACGAACCGUGCGAACGUUGUUCGGAAUCACUGGGCUUAAAGGGCGCGUAGGCGGGCCUCCAAGUCCGGGGUGAAAUCCUCCAGCCUAACUGGAGAAGCGCCUCGGAGACUGGGGGCCUCGAGGGAGGUAGGGGCAAGCGGAACUAUGGGUGGAGCGGUGAAAUGCAUUGAUAUCCAUAGGAACUCCGGUGGCGAAGGCGGCUUGCUGGACCUCUUCUGACGCUGAGGCGCGAAAGCCAGGGGAGCAAACGGG
rnacentral:rRNA from 1 species